UCUUUUUGUUUUCUCAAUUCUUUAUAUGAUAUGUGAUCCAUCUAUAAAAGAGAGUUGAUAAAAGGAAAAAAAAAUAUAGAAAAGACAAAAAAUUGAAUUCUGGUAUGUUACAGUUAAGGGACAUCGCAAAGCAAAUUGACUUCUUGGUCUCUUUCCGUGGUAAAGGCAACAGCUUUCUCUGCGUCGUCUUUCCUUGCUCUGCCUGAGCCUCCGCGUUGUAUUCCAAAAGGCGUAGCUCUCUCUCUCUUUCAGGGAAAUUUGCAAGCAAAGGUCCGAGGAAAUGGUGGUUUGCUUUCCGUCCACGCCCAAGAGGUUGGCUAUGACAAUAGGAUGCUUCAUUUCUGCUGCUGCUCUUUUUGCUUUUGGUGCUCAUAUCUCUUAUGUCAAUGUUGCCCCGCAACAAGCUCGAACCAAAGCUCGAAAUGAGUUUGUGAGAGAACGGCUGAAACAGAAGUAUGGCAAAUGAUAGAACACGCAGUAUUGGCAUAUUGCAGUUGGGUUUUCGGAUUGCAUGCCGUUGAAAGAAAAAAUGACACUUGAGUUGUGAAUUUUAUGGUCAUACCAUUCUGGGAUGAACAUCCUGCUCUUGUUUUUCUUUUCUUUUCUUUUUCUUUUUGUUUACAUUGUACGACAUACAACAGGGAUGAUAAAUAAUUUUGAUGGCCAUGAUUUGAUUGA